UCAAUCUCUGCCGGGUUGAAUGUGGAGCAAAUGUCAGCGCACAGCAGCCAAUAGCUGUCUCCACGACUGAUGGCGAACUGGAGCUACUGGAGCAUAAAAACGGAGCUGUAAUGAAGAGUACUUGGAUGGCUUUACAUCACAGGACGUAUACCCUUGGAUAGAGCAACCCAUAAACAAUGAAUAUUGGUGCUUAUCUGGGCGAGGAAAACCCAUUGAAGCGGCACAAUGAAUAAAACUUGGCACAGAGUCUGCCACUGAAGAUGCUUAAUUUGUUAAGCGCUGCCAUUGAAGCGAGAAGUGCGACGAAUGCGGAGAUAAUGGAGCAUCCCAGUCGAGGAGAAACCAAAACCAGCACAUUGUGCUGCCCAAAGAAUACCCAAGAUCCACACUUGUAUUGUUCGCAUGUGUGUUAUCACAACACGCAACUUGAUUUUCCACGCCUGUUACACAGUGGUAACCGUUGAAAUGUAGACUGUA